GGCCUGGAGGCCCUACUGACCUCUGAACCCAAAAGGAACCCCGUGGAGACAGAGGAAGUGGGGAUGACCAUUGAGGACUACAUCAUCCUGGCUGACAUCCCAAGGACCAUCAUGGAGUCAGAGGAGGAGACGCCAGGGCUGAGAAGGCGAACCCAGAGCCCAAGCCCCCAGAGGUUGGAACGAAACCAUGUUCCCAGAUAUGAUGAUGAAAUGGAUGGCUACAGUUUGAAGGCUGAGACGGAUGAGAGGGG